GAUGAACGCUGGCGGCGUGCCUAAUACAGGCAAGUCGAGCGAACGGACGAGAAGCUUGCUUCUCGGAUGUUAGCGGCGGAGGGGGGAGUAACAGGUGGAUAACCUACCUAUAAGACUGGGAUAACUUCGGGAAACCGGAGCUAAUACCGGAUAAUAUUUUGAACCGCAUGGUUCAAAAGUGAAAGACGGUCUUGCUGUCACUUAUAGAUGGAUCCGCGCUGCAUUAGCUAGUUGGUAAGGUAACGGCUUACCAAGGCAACGAUGCAUAGCCGACCUGAGAGGGUGAUCGGCCACACUGGAACUGAGACACGGUCCAGACUCCUACGGGAGGCAGCAGUAGGGAAUCUUCCGCAAUGGGCGAAAGCCUGACGGAGCAACGCCGCGUGAGUGAUGAAGGUCUUCGGAUCGUAAAACUCUGUUAUUAGGGAAGAACAUAUGUGUAAGUAACUGUGCACAUCUUGACGGUACCUAAUCAGAAAGCCACGGCUAACUACGUG
rnacentral:rRNA from 1 species